AGUGACAGUACGAGUAUAACUACGUUGAAGGUGUUCGGAAGCGACAUUGUAGACAAAAUUAAAUGAUGGUAUCAGAUUCGAAUUCGAAUCGUUUGUUUGCGUAUUUGAAUCGCCAUCAAAAGAUUUAGUGUAAAAACUUAAAAAAACGCCCCUGUGAACGAGACGUAAAGUGAAUUAAGUAUGAGAAAUGGUAGUACGAAACUAAUUUUGACAACCGAGAUUGUCACGUUAUCGUUGAAUUUUUCAGUUGUCGCAAACGAUUCGAAGACGAAAGUUGUUCGUGCUAGAGGUAUAGAACUAUUGUGGUGAACCCACUAGUAACAGAGCAUAACACAAGGAGUUAACGACACUAUUAGUAAUAUUUACUAGAGUCAUUCGGGGUAACAGCACGCGGUGGGUAAAAGUACGCGGUGGUCCGAUCUCCGACAGGGGUGGGGGGGCCGAGGUCUGUGUUUGUAAAACAGAGUGGCGCUACUGUAACCGUUUAGGAGCCACGCGCCGCGCCGACGCAAUCUAAGUACUGGUCGCGACACGUCGCCGAAUACUUGUAGCACGCUUAAUUCGUUUAAUUAUUAUGCCACGGAAAAGUGUGCUGUAGUUAAAUGGAUAGCUCUGUGCCAAAUACCUACACCAAAAUGCCGAGAAAUUACAUAAGGAAGGCCCCUCAGCGGACCCUCAUCUCAUCUCAGAUGACCAAAUAAUGAAAGCCAAUUAUUUUGAUCUCAAAGUGUGACUAUUGCCAAUAUAAAUAAUUUAAGACAAGAUUCACAUUAUAAUAGAUACAGGGCGGAAUUUUGUAAUGGAGCACCUGGAGGGAAAGUACUCUUAGUAAUGUAGAGGAAUCGAACCAACUAAAAUUUGUUAAAAAUUACACCCUGUAUUUUUAUUGCUUCGAUCGUUAGGGUUAAGUUUAUGGAUGAAAUCUCUCUAACAAACUUGUUUAAAUUAAAUGAAAGGAAAACCAUGAAAUCUUAAACUAUUUUAAUUAUUUACAAAAAAAUUUAUGGUAUGAUAGUGAAUUUUCAAAAAUCUUUGAAUGGAGUUCUCUUUGUUUUCAAAAAUUAAGGAAUGUUUUAUUUGAGUAAAAUUUUCUAUCUACAAUAUUAAGAGUACUUUCCCUCCAGGUGGCAUUACAAAAUUCCACCCUGUAUAAUACAAAGAGUUCUUAUUUUUUUUAAUGUUAAAGUUCUUAAAAUGUUAUUUACAAGAUUAAAUAAAUAUUGAUUAUUGCCAAUCUUAA